UACGUAGGGUGCAAGCGUUGUCCGGAAUUAUUGGGCGUAAAGAGCUCGUAGGCGGUGUGUCACGUCGGCCGUGAAAACCUGCAGCUUAACUGUGGGCGUGCGGUCGAUACGGGCAUCACUGGAGUUCGGCAGGGGAGACUGGAAUUCCUGGUGUAGCGGUGAAAUGCGCAGAUAUCAAGUGGAACACCAGUGGCGAAGGCGAAUCCCUGGAAAAUACCUGACACUGAGGCACGAAAGCUAGGGGAGCAAACAGG
rnacentral:rRNA from 1 species